GUCAGCAUCAUCAUCAUCUAUUCUCUUAGCUGUAGCCGUUCCAAGCACAUACCUGCUGAGAUGGAGAUCUACUGCUAUUUCUUUGUCAUUCUUUUUCUGAUUGAUGAGAAAAAAGUACGACGAUGUUAGUUCGUUUCGUUGACAUACUUUGUUUAUUAAUCUUCAUGUCGUAUUAGUUCCAAAGUGUUUUGCUUUCUCUCCUUUAGUCCAAAGCUUGCGUUUCAGCUUGCAUUGCUCGCCUUAACAGCUCAAACAAGCGAACCCCUUGAUGUGAUCGCUUCAAGAUUGUAUUUUUAAUAUUCAGUGAGUUAUGAGAUGACUGGUGAUCUUGCUGAGAUUUUUGGUACUCAAUCUGCCCUUUCACCAUUCUGCAACACUUCGUCAUGAUGAGUUGGGUCAAGAAACACUUCUGACUUGAUUGCUUCGCAACUACCUGUACUACAACAACCUUUAUGACCACGAAGAGAAGUUGAGAUCAAAAGAAACAAGAUUUGAGAUGAAGGGAAGCCAAAAGUGAGAAGAGUAUCUGUUGUGUUUUCAGUUUCACCCGAAGAAAAAUGUAAUAUGAGGAAUCUUCUUCUCCUGCAAAAAAGCUUAAAAAAGAAGAAAAAUAGUCCAGUCUCCAACACGAGAUCGUGUUUUAAAUUUGCAGUCAUGGCCUGUGAUUUAUAUGUUUUAGAUGUAAAAAUUUCUGUGCUAGUUUGUUUUAAAAGUUUUGUCAUUUAGUUUGGGUUUUGGACAUAGCACUUUGUUUUUUUGGUCAAUUUUGACUAAAUACUCUCUAUUUAAUGAUU